rnacentral:rRNA from 1 species
UGUUGCAUGGCUGUCGUCAGCUCGUGUCGUGAGAUGUUGGGUUAAGUCCCGCAACGAGCGCAACCCUCAUCCUUAGUUGCCACCAGGUAAUGCUGAGUACUUUAAGGAAACUGCCAGUGAUAAGCUGGAGGAAGGUGGGGAUGAUGUCAAGUCAUCAUGGCCUUUAUGGAGUGGGCUACACACGUGCUACAAUGGUGUCUACAAUGGGUUGCAAGGUGCGCAAGCCUAAGCUAAUCCCUAAAAGACAUCUCAGUUCGGAUUGUACUCUGCAACUCGAGUACAUGAAGUUGGAAUCGCUAGUAAUCGUGGAUCAGCAUGCCACGGUGAAUACGUUCUCGGGUC